AAAGCACAAAGACCAUCAUCAUUCUCGGUUACCUAGAGACUACUACUACUCAUUUUACAGAUAAGGAAACUGAAGCCAAAGAAAGCUAAGUUACUAGACUGAGGUCAGUACUAAGUAGCAGGGCUGGGAUCUGCUGCACCAAGAGUUCUUCCCAUUGUUGUUCAGUAGUGUCCAACUCUUCAUGAACUGAUGGACCAAAAUGAAGCAAUACUAUCCAUGGGGUUUUCUUGGCAAAGAUACUAGAGUGGUUUCUCAAUUUCUUCUCCAGUGGAUUAAAGAAAAGAGAGGUUAAAUACAGGUCAUACAUACAAAUUAUAAGGGCCUGAGGGCACAUUUGAACUCAGAUCUUCCUGACUUUAUGCCCAUCAUUCUAUCUAUUUGAACUACGUAGCUGCCUCAGAUCCUUGACCUUAUAUUCACAUAAAGGACAUCUUUUUUUUAUGCCUUUGCCUUCUGACUUAGAAAGAAAACUAAAUGUCAGUUUCAAGGCAGAAGAGCACUAAGGGCAAAGCAAUUGCAGUUAAGUGACUUGCCCAGGGUUCUAUAGCUAGGAAGUGCCUGAAUCCAGAUUUGAAACCAAGACUUUCCAUCUCUAUGUUAAUCUACCAAACACUCAACUGGCGAGAUUUCAACAUGCUUUUCUCCCACUAGAAUCAAGGGGGGGUUGGGGGGGGUUGUGAAAAGGGAAUUACCCUCCCUUUGUUUUCUUUAAUCAGAGACCUUCAGUGUAAUUAAUCAGGAACUUGAAGAUACAGACACACCCUCAAAGACAGGAAAUUGAUCCCACAGGUACUGCCCCUUUGGGAAGUGCCAGGAAAAUUAAGUAAUUGUGAUUGGUUCCUGAGAUGUGAUAUAGGGGAGCUAGCGAGUAGAGAAAAUGACUUAUAAAGGAGUGACCAGAGUUCUAAAGACACAUUCUGGCAUUGGUGACUCACUUGAUGGAGGCACUACUGUGCUGGUGACUCUUGCUUAAGACACUCUCAUAGACUUCUGACUGGAGAUUGGACUUGAAGGAGCUGUUGUUGGUGAUAAACUUCAUUCCAUUAGAACAGCAAUUAAGCUGGUAUGGAAAUGCUUUGCCUGCCUUCUCAGUGGAUGGGGGAGAAAGGUAAGGAAAGAAGAGAAUUUUGAACUCAAUUUUAAAAGAAAAAAAAUGUUAGUCAUUUUAAAAGAAAAAAAUUUCAAUUCUUUAGGC
rnacentral:lncRNA from 1 species